rnacentral:lncRNA from 1 species
UUGAAAUUCUUCAUAUUGUCACAGAAAUUAUAACUGCACUUAAGUCCAGUGAAUUGUGUGUGCGGCAGGGGGUGGGGGAAGGAGGGUUUGUUGUUUGGUUUUGUUUUUAAACUGGGACAGAGGAAUUGAGUUAAGGGGGGAAAUUAGGCCUUUACUAAAGGGAAAACACACACACAUACAAUAGAGCAUUUCAAAGGAUGCGUACAGUAAAUUAUAUCUUUUUUCAUUUCCCACCUCCUCCUGCUUAUUCUUCAAGAGUCAUCUUUCUUCCCCAACACACUCACAAAAGGCCUCCUUUAUUACCUUUUGUUAUGUUACCUCCUGAUGUGGGAGUGGUGUGAUAAUGGGGUCUCCCAAGCCGAGUCCUUGAGGAUAGAUAAUCACUCUUUGUUAGCGGGCAUUCCACCUUUCUUCUGAGGCUUUCAAAGGCUUAAAAUAAGGCUCCACCAAAUAGGGCUAUUGGAAAACAGAAGAAAAGAGUCAUGUAUAGAGGUUACUUGGAGGGACAGAGCCAGCACAAAGACCACACCACAGGGAGGAACAAAUACCCCAACAACCUUCUCCUCUUUCCACCCCAUCUCAUGCCAGCUUUCCUCUCAGCAAUCUGCCAAUCUGCCUAUAUCUAUACCUCAUCCACCUGCUUCCCACCUCUUUGCUCUACAUAGUCAAGA